CCAGCUACUGGCGUCGGGGGCUGAGGCGGGAGGAUUGCCUGAGUCCAGGAGGUUAACUGCAGUGAGCCGAGAUCGCAUCACUGCAUUCCAGUCCUGGCAACAGAAUGAGAUUCUGUCUCAAAAAACAAAACAAAACAUGGUUUAGACUUAGUCUUGGACCUCAAUAAGCAAAUUAAGCAGAAUAAUGAAGCAAAUACGUAUGACAGUUAAGGAACCAUUCAAGAUAAUAGAUCUCAUAAUUACGUUAUUUGGAUCAAGGGUUAUUCAGGUGAGAGUGCUCAGGUUAGAGAGUGAAGCUGAAGACAGCUUUUAAGAAAUGGUGCAAGAAAGAUGAGGAGGUCAAGGAGAGAAAGCAAGAAGGGUCAACAAAGAGGCCAAGGCUGAGUGGGAGAGAAAGCCGGAUGGGGAAGGAUCACAAUAACAGCUUUGUAGGAUUUCUCCGCAAGCAAAUAAUCUCUACGUGGACAUCAAGACUUUACACUAAGAUUCUGAAGAUGAUUGAGUCAAUGGAUGAGUAUAACUAACUUUUGGAAACUUCAAGGCAAUUUAAGGAAACUGCAGGAGGACCAGAAACGAUCAGAAAGGAUCAAGAGCAGGGAACCAGGGCUGAUCCAAAAAAUGAGGGCCGGCAUUUGUGAUCUUGGGAGGAGCCACCCCAGUGUGGGUCAACUCCACAGCAUUAGGAAGACCAAUUCAUCAGAAUUACCUUUUCAAGAAAUGGAUCUGUUCCUUGUCACAUUCUUAGAAUAAAGACUUAUCUUUAUUACUACUAA